rnacentral:misc_RNA from 1 species
UCCUUUCAAGAAGCAAGAGGCCCCCUUUAUGUCAGAAGAAAAUCUCCAACUUCCAAUCUUCAAUGCUCAUUUGUCCUUCUUCCAUUAUUCAUACCCAUAAAGUGGCUUAUGUCAGAGAGUUAGUUAGUACUAGGAUUCAACACAGGAUAAAAAUUCACAUACUCAAACCCUAUCUUGUUUUCUUUCUCUUCUUCUAGCCAUGACUUCAAUCUACCAAAUUAACUCUGCUACAAGAAUCAGGUUUGCUCGUAGAUUUCUCAUUUCCCUUUCCAGGAUGAGAAGAGCUAGUACACUUGGUCCUCCUUCUGACGAGGAAAUUCGCACAAGAACGCGUAGGAUAAGGAUUGUUUCUUAUUCUUCGAUGGCUUUUGCUGUUGGGUCCAGCAGGGCUUGGAGCCGAGCACUUGUUUUGAAGAUACGAAAUCGAGCGAGGUUCCGUGGAAUUUUGAGAAAUAAAUGCUUGGCUUCCAAGAAAAAAAGGGUUAUCAAAAGACAUAAGGUUUCAAGAGAGAUGAGCAAGACUGAUAUGCUUCGAAGGCUGGUUCCUGGAGGGGCAGGUAUGGGUAUUUGUGGGUUGUUAGAGGAAACUGCACAUUAUAUGACAUGCCUUGCCACUCAGGUUAAGGUGAUGCAA